GGGCCAAAUUCAAAUAGUACGGCGAGUGACCGGGAAGAGCUCAAAUUUGAAAUCUGGCGUGCUCAGUGCGUCCGAGUUGUAAUCUAUAGAGUCGUUUUCCGUGCCGGACUGUGUCCAAGUCCCUUGGAACAGGGUAUCAAAGAGGGUGAUAAUCCCGUACUUGACACAAUGACCGGUGCUCUGUGAUACGUCUUCUACGAGUCGAGUUGUUUGGGAAUGCAGCUCAAAAUGGGUGGUGAGUUCCAUCUAAAGCUAAAUAUUGGCGAGAGACCGAUAGCGAACAAGUACCGUGAGGGAAAGAUGAAAAGCACUUUGGAAAGAGAGUUAAACAGUACGUGAAAUUGUUAAAAGGGAAACGAUUGAAGUCAGUCGUGACUGAGAGGCUCAGCCGGUUCUGCCGGUGUAUUCCCCUCAGUCGGGUCAACAUCAGUUUUGUUCGGUGGAUAAGGGCAGUUGGAAGGUGGCACCCUCGGGUGUGUUAUAGCCAGCUGUCGCAUACAUCGGAUGAGACUGAGGAAUGCAGCUCGCCUUUAUGGCCGGGGUUCGCCCACGUUCGAGCUUAGGAUGUUGACAUAAUGGCUUUAAACGACCCGAAUUGAAACACGAACCCA
rnacentral:rRNA from 1 species